AUUGAACGCUGGCGGCAUGCCUUACACAUGCAAGUCGAACGGCAGCACGGGAGCUUGCUCCUGGUGGCGAGUGGCGAACGGGUGAGUAAUACAUCGGAACGUACCCAGUAGUGGGGGAUAACGCACCGAAAGGUGCGCUAAUACCGCAUACGACCUACGGGUGAAAGCGGGGGACCGUAAGGCCUCGCGCUAUUGGAGCGGCCGAUGUCUGAUUAGCUAGUUGGCGGGGUAAUAGCCCACCAAGGCGACGAGCAGUAGCUGGUCUGAGAGGACGAGCAGCCACACUGGGACGGGGACACGGCCCAGACUCCUACGGGAGGCAGCAGUGGGGAAUUUUGGACAAUGGGGGCAACCCUGAUCCAGCAAUGCCGCGUGUGCGAAGAAGGCCUUCGGGUUGUAAAGCACUUUUGUCCGGAAAGAAAUGGCUCUGGUUAAUACCUGGGGUCGAUGCCGGUACCGGAAGAAUAAGGACCGGCUAACUACGUGCCAGCCGCCGCAGUAA
rnacentral:rRNA from 1 species